AUUGAACGCUGGCGGCAGGCCUAAUACAUGCAAGUCGAACGGUAACAUAAAAGAAGCUUGCUUCUUUUGAUGACGAGUGGCGGACGGGUGAGUAAUAUUUGGGAAACUACCUGAUAGAGGGGGACAACAGUUGGAAACGACUGCUAAUACCGCAUAAAGCCUGAGGGUGAAAGCAGCAAUGCGCUAUCAGAUGUGCCCAAACGGGAUUAGCUAGUAGGUGAGGUAAAGGCUCACCUAGGCGACGAUCUCUAGCUGGUCUGAGAGGAUGAUCAGCCACAUUGGGACUGAGACACGGCCCAGACUCCUACGGGAGGCAGCAGUAGGGAAUAUUGCACAAUGGAGGAAACUCUGAUGCAGCCAUGCCGCGUGUGUGAAGAAGGCCUUCGGGUUGUAAAGCACUUUCGGAGGGAGGAAAGAUAGACGUUACCCUCAGAAGAAGCACCGGCUAACUCCGUG
rnacentral:rRNA from 1 species